rnacentral:lncRNA from 1 species
GUGACAACCAUAAACUGUAGCCUACUCCAUGAGGAAAAGGCUGGAUUUCAAAAAUCAAAUGAUCCAAAAUAUAUAGUGGGAGCCCAUUAUACAUUCUUCCCUUGGUAUUCUUUUGACCUGAAAGGCUGGUGGUCUAAUGGCAAAAUAGAAAAAAUAAAUCACCACCACCCACAAAUUCUCACCAAUUAGGAUUGGAAUCGAAUCGAAUAUCAGUAUAUUCAUAUCUAUAUUUAUUUUAUCUAAUAAAUAUAAAUAUA